rnacentral:rRNA from 1 species
UACGUAGGGAGCAAGCGUUGUUCGGAUUUACUGGGCGUAAAGGGCGCGUAGGCGGCUACUCAAGUCAGCUGUGAAAUCUCCGAGCUUAACUCGGAACGGUCAGCUGAUACUGUUUUGCUAGAGUGCAGAAGGGGCAAUCGGAAUUCCUGGUGUAGCGGUGAAAUGCGUAGAUAUCAAGAGGAACACCUGAGGUGAAGACGGGUUGCUAGGCUGACACUGACGCUGAGGCGCGAAAGCCAGGGGAGCAAACGGG